rnacentral:tRNA from 1 species
GGGGUUGUGGCUCAGUGGCAAAGCACUUGCCUCUCAUGCAUGAAGCACUGGGUUCAAUCCUUAGCACCA